rnacentral:misc_RNA from 1 species
UCCCGGUGUUUCACCUCCAUAUUCCCUUCCCAACUCUUCCUUAAAGCUUUGGCCCCAAGCUCAAUUCCCUGAACUAUAUUCUUAAUAACUGGUACCCUCUUUGCAUUUGGACUUGCCCCACGAACAGAACUCAACUUUUCCACUACUCUUGACUCAGUUGAUCCCUUCUCCGACCCCUUAAUCUUCGUUUGCUGCUUAACCCCAUUAGCAAAUUUCUCAAAUGAAGUAGGAAGCGAAUAACAACUUGUUGGAGAGGAAGGAAUCGACCUUGA